rnacentral:rRNA from 1 species
AUGGAGAGUUUGAUCCUGGCUCAGGAUGAACGCUAGCGGCAGGCCUAACACAUGCAAGUCGAGGGGUAACAGAGGUAGCUUGCUACUUGCUGACGACCGGCGCACGGGUGCGCACCGCGUAUGGAACCUACCUUUUACAGGGGAAUAGCCCAGGGAAACUUGGAUUAAUGCCCCGUGGUACUAUUAUGUGGCAUCACAUUAUAGUUAAAGCCUUCGGGCGGUAGAAGAUGGCCAUGCGUCCCAUUAGUUUGUUGGUAAGGUAACGGCUUACCAAGACUACGAUGGGUAGGGGCCCUGAGAGGGGGAUCCCCCACACUGGUACUGAGACACGGACCAGACUCCUACGGGAGGCAGCAGUGAGGAAUAUUGGACAAUGGGCGCAAGCCUGAUCCAGCCAUGCCGCGUGCAGGAAGACUGCCCUAUGGGUUGUAAACUGCUUUUAUACAGGAAGAAACACUCGGACGUGUCCGAGCUUGACGGUACUGUAAGAAUAAGGAUCGGCUAACUCCGUGCCAGCAGCCGCGGUAAUACGGAGGAUCCAAGCGUUAUCCGGAAUCAUUGGGUUUAAAGGGUCCGUAGGCGGGCAAUUAAGUCAGAGGUGAAAGUUUGCGGCUCAACCGUAAAAUUGCCUUUGAAACUGGUUGUCUUGAAUUAUUAUGAAGUGGUUAGAAUAAGUAGUGUAGCGGUGAAAUGCAUAGAUAUUACUUAGAAUACCAAUUGCGAAGGCAGAUCACUAAUAAUAUAUUGACGCUGAUGGACGAAAGCGUGGGGAGCGAACAGGAUUAGAUACCCUGGUAGUCCACGCCGUAAACGAUGGAUACUAGCUGUUCGAUCUUCGGAUUGAGUGGCUAAGCGAAAGUGAUAAGUAUCCCACCUGGGGAGUACGUUCGCAAGAAUGAAACUCAAAGGAAUUGACGGGGGCCCGCACAAGCGGUGGAGCAUGUGGUUUAAUUCGAUGAUACGCGAGGAACCUUACCAGGGCUUAAAUGUAGAUUGACAGGUUUAGAGAUAGACUUUUCUUCGGACAAUUUACAAGGUGCUGCAUGGUUGUCGUCAGCUCGUGCCGUGAGGUGUCAGGUUAAGUCCUAUAACGAGCGCAACCCCUGUUGUUAGUUGCCAGCGAGUCAUGUCGGGAACUCUAACAAGACUGCCAGUGCAAACUGUGAGGAAGGUGGGGAUGACGUCAAAUCAUCACGGCCCUUACGUCCUGGGCUACACACGUGCUACAAUGGCCGGUACAGAGGGCAGCCACUACGCGAGUAGGAGCGAAUCCUUAAAACCGGUCUCAGUUCGGAUCGGAGUCUGC